AAUCAAUCUUACUACCCCUCUCAGAUGACGCAUGGGAUUUUGGAGCUUAGGACACUUCCCUCCACCUUCACACAGGCAACAUCAAGAAAAUCGAAGACGAAUAUAAAUGCUGGUCUAAACACCCACUCACACUCAUUGGAAGAAUAGCUGCAGUCAAAAUGAAAACCCUACCCCAUAUUAACUACCUUUUUUCUAUGAUCCCCAUCACUCCUACAGACAAAUGGUUCAAAACUCUCAAUUCAUUAACAACACAAUUUUAUUGGAAAAA